AUACGGAGGAUCCGAGCGUUAUCCGGAUUUAUUGGGUUUAAAGGGAGCGUAGGUGGUUUGUUAAGUCAGUUGUGAAAGUUUGCGGAUCAACCGUAAACUUGCAGUUGGCACUGGCAGUCUUGAGUACAGUAGAGGCGGGCGGAAUUCGCGGGGUAGAGGGGAAAUGCUUAGAUAUCACGAAGAACUCCGAUUGCGAAGGCAGCUCACUAGACUGUUACUGACACUGAUGCUCGAAAGUGUGGGUAUCAAACAGGAUUAGAUACCCUGGUAGUCCACACAGUAAACGAUGAAUGCUCGCUGUUUGCGAUAUACAGUAAGCGGCCAAGCGAAAGCAUUAAGUAUUCCACCUGGGGAGUACGCCGGCAACGGUGAAACUUAAAGGAAUUGACGGGG
rnacentral:rRNA from 1 species